GCCUGGUCACGGUCUUAUUUUUAAUAGUGUAUAGGCAAUAGUUGCGGUCCAGCUCCCCGUCAACCGUCCGUCAUAUCGUUUCCGGUCGUGUUUAUCUUAGUCCGCGCCAUCGCUCAAGGUUUGUAGUUUCUUAAAUCGUGGCCGUCAACGGGGUGUGGAUUGGUCGGCGAACGCCGUUCGUAUCGAAAGGUUGCUGAUAUUUUUUUUUGCUAUGCCAGACAAUUCGCUACUUGUACAGCGCACUUCACAGGUAGGCAGUUCGCUUCAGUGGACAUACAUACUUUAUAGUGGACCCAAGUCCUGGAGUAUGGAACCAUAGUCUGUUUAUUUUAUAACAUUCUGUGCGGUUUGCUUGAGUUUUAACGGCAUCUGCGGCUCUGCAUGGCUCAGUCUGUACCUCCAUCCUUAUAGUAUUCAUUAUCAACACUUUGGUCAAGUCGAUGUGGAUCGUUAUGAGUUGUCUGUAUUCGAAAAACCGUACGUGAAUAAUAUUUUAAACUAUGAAUUAGUUACCAUCCGAUAUUUUUUGUGCAAAACAUUCAAACUGUGAAACACCAAUAUCAGUUAUUACAGAUAUCCUAUCAGAAGAUGACUCUAUGAAAUUUGAAAAAUUUCGGAAGAAUUUGGUUUAUUAUGAUUAACAACAGUAAAGAAUUUGACAUAAGCAAUCUUUGGAAAAGCCAGCUCAGUGAAAUUGUGUGGAUAUUCUUUAACGCUACUUUAUAUUAAGCUAUAGAGGUUGAGUAAAUUUGAAUAUCAUAGAGAUUUGUCACUACUCAAAGUUAUGGAAGCUGCUAAAGUUAUAAAUAAUGAUGGAAUCCAUAUAUUCGUUGACAUGAGUUAUAAUUACAUGGUUAUACAAAUAAGGAUAAAAUAAGUUCUCCUCCUGAACUGUUCUACACAAAUCAAACUAUUUUUGUUGGUUAUAUGACAAACAGAAGUUUUCUAAUUUAUGUUGACACAUUGUCCAUUAUUACUAAAGUAGCUAAUUGGGAAGCUGUUGCAAAUGAUAAACACAGCUUCUUAAUUAACUAAUUUGGAAAUAAUGGAUACUUUAGCCAAAGAUGAAGAAAACUAUUGGAAUUGCAAUACAAUUAAGGUUGGACAAACACUCCUGGGAAAAUAUCAGAAAACAAAUUUGGGACUUAAAAUGCAUGCUUAGUGAUCUGUUUAAUAUAAAUUGUUAUACAACAGAAAUUAGUUUAUUCAAAAAUAUGCGGAAAAUGAAUUGGGCAUGUAGGAAUGUGUAUUUAUUAAAAAUCUGCUGUAUAAAGUGUUAGUGUUGUUUAUUAUAAUUAUUUUUUAUUUUAAAACAUCAACUGCUUUUAUUUAUUUAAUUUGUGAGUUAUACCAUUGAGUAAAUAUUGUAUGGGGCAACAAUGUCCGAUAUUUUAUGGUAGGCUAAAUAUUAGUUCAUUGACUUGACGCUGACAAUAGAGUGCACUACCGCAAUCACUAACAAUAUUAUUUUAUUUUUUAUUUUGUGAAAUUAAAUAAUAUUAUAUUAUUAUUUGUAUUUUAUUGUUUGACAUAAUAAUAAUAUAAUAAUUUAUUUUACUGCUAUAUUGUACAUUUACUAAAUUAAAAUAAAUUAUUAUAAUGAUUAAUUUGACACUUGCGAAUGAGUACAAUAAUCAUUCAUAGGUAGAAUUACUAUACUGUUUUCGCCUACGCGACAUUUUUCUAAGCGCUAUUUAUUAGCCGUCUCCUCGGGAGAAUAGGACAUUUUUAUAGUACAUUGUUGUUUAUCUAUAAAAUAAUAUAUACUCAAUGGUUAUACAUUUAAUGUGUAUAGUUUAAUUAUUUUCAGACUUAAAUAAAAUUAAA